rnacentral:rRNA from 1 species
CCUACGGGAGGCAGCAGUGAGGAAUAUUGGUCAAUGGGCGCGAGACUGAACCAGCCAAGUAGCGUGAAGGAUGACUGCCCUACGGGUUGUAAACUUCUUUUAUAAAGGAAUAAAGUGAGGCACGUGUGCCUUUUUGUAUGUACUUUAUGAAUAAGGAUCGGCUAACUCCGUGCCAGCAGCCGCGGUAAUACGGAGGAUCCGAGCGUUAUCCGGAUUUAUUGGGUUUAAAGGGAGCGUAGAUGGGUUGUUAAGUCAGUUGUGAAAGUUUGCGGCUCAACCGUGAAAUUGCAAUUGAUACUGGCAGUCUUGAGUACAGUUGAGGUAGGCGGAAUUCGUGGUGUAGCGGUGAAAUGCUUAGAUAUCACGAAGAACUCCGAUUGCGAAGGCAGCUUACUAGACUGCCACUGACAUUGAUGCUCGAAAGUGUGGGUAUCAAACAGGAUUAGAUACCCCAGUAGUC